rnacentral:misc_RNA from 1 species
GAUGAAGAACGCAGCGAAAUGCGAUAAGUAAUGUGAAUUGCAGAAUUCAGUGAAUCAUCGAAUUUUUGAACGCACCUUGCGCUCCUUGGUAUUCUGAGGAACAUGCCUGUUUGAGAGUUAUGAAUUCUUCUCAACCUUUCUGGAUUUUCCUUGUUUAAAGACACAAUUCAGUUUGGCUUGGAUUUUGGAAGCUUUGCUGGCUUUGAUUAGAACAAUCAAUCAGCUCUUCUUAAAUGUAUUAGCACAGAUUAUUACUGAUUGGUAUUGGUAUAAUAAUAAGCUAUAUCAUUGAUCAGCAGUUUUAAGGAUCGUGCUACUAAUCGUUUCUUUCAAGAAACAAAUAUUCUGAGUAAUUUGACCUCAAAUCAGGUAGGACUACCCGCUGAACUUAAGCAUAUCAAUAAGCGGAGGA